CCCUGACGGCCGCAUUCCGCGGUCGACAAGCCAAGACAGGAGAAUAUCAUG
rnacentral:ncRNA from 1 species